AUUCAGUGGCACCGUUGCUGUCCUUUAAAUAAAGGUCACGUUGCAGGGGCUGGCUCUGCUCGUGUGUGUACCUGGAGGGAAGGCUGGACCAGGAGUUUGGGUUCUGCUAUGACAAACACAUUGGGUGACCCCAUGGGACAGCAACAUGCAGGCGCCUUUAAGCAAAGUUCAAGCAGCUCCUAAAUUAACCAAAGCAAAUCCCCAAAGAUGCAGUGUUUAUGCACUGAAGCAAGAAGGGAGGGCUCUCAUCUCACUGGUCUUGUCAGCCCCUACAGCCCAAGAAGCAAGAGAGAGAAAGUAAGAGCUAUUUACCUUGUGCUAAUAGGGAGCUGGGCAGCU